GGUUCCACAGUGUAGUGGUUAUCACAUCUGCUUUACACGCAGAUGGACCUGGGUGCAAGCCCCAGUGGAAUCA